GCUCCCUUUGGAAGCACAUAUACUAAAUGAUAUAGAGAAGAUUAGCAUGGCCCCUGCACAAGGGUGACACACAAACUCAUGAAGCAGUCCAUAUUCAC
rnacentral:snRNA from 1 species